rnacentral:rRNA from 1 species
AACGUAGGUGGCGAGCGUUAUCCGGAUUUACUGGGCGUAAAGGGUGUGCAGGCGGGCUGUUAAGUGGUGCAUGAAAUCUCCGCGCUUAACGUGGAGAGGCUGUGCCAGACUGGCAGUCUAGAGUACGAGAGAGGGUUGUGGAAUUCCGGGUGUAGUGGUGAAAUGCGUAGAUAUCCGGAGGAACACCAGUGGCGAAAGCGGCCACCUGGACUGUACCUGAUGCUCAAACACGAAAGCUAGGGGAGCGAACGGG